rnacentral:misc_RNA from 1 species
CACAACAAAGAUAGAAUCAAAUCUGUUUGCUAACCUUAGAAUUCCCAAAAAUAUAUCCAUACUCAAUUGAAUCUAUCGUGUAUUCGGUUUAAAUAAAUAUAUUUGCUAAUUCUAUCAUUAUAAAUCAUAUGUAUAUUAUUUUAAAUUAAAUAAUUUUGCAUCUCCAAAUGUUUAAAUUACUAAUUCAAUAUUAGAGAAAUAUAUUGUCUAUUUGCGUGCAAUAGAAAAAUUUCAAAACAUUAUAUGAUAUUCAUUUAAACGAAAUAAUAAUUUUGAAUUCAAUGUCUGUUAUAUGAUUAAGUGUGCAUAAAAAAUGUUUUAACAAUUUUAUAUUUUUUAUGCAAUAACUAAAUACAAUAUAUAUGUAAUAUUUUCCAAUUAAUUACAUGCAUGUUCAAUUUCAAUUUAUAUAAUCUUUCCUAAAUUUCAUAAUUCAAUCUAAACCUUUUUUUUAAAGAAAAAUUCACUUGGCUUAUUUAACAUUACUAUGAUUUUUUUCUAAUGGGAAAGAAAAAUAAAAGAACUAAAUUAAAGAAGCAAAAGUUUAACAACUAACCACGUUCUCAAUUUCAAGUAAUCUAAAAAGCUUUUCCAUUCCAAAUGAGUUUGCUAGUUCAUAUGCAUUUGAAGUCAGCACAUUUUCAUUGUUAAUUGCAGUUUAUAUUUUGACACUGUUUUGUUUUAUUUUUUAGGUCUAAACCUGUUAUUCUUGUGAAUGGAAAAGGAUAAUUUAUUCUCUAGAAAAUUAGACAACUUUAUGAUGAGCAGGGAAACAAUAGUAUUGAAUUUCAUAUAAUUCUAGCCAAUAAUUAUGAGUGAAAAUUUAUUAACAUUGGUAUAUAAAAAAAAUUAUAUUGUUACAAUUGGAGUCGAUAUAAAAAAUACUAAUAAUAACUAGCACAAAUCUAACACAAAUGUAACAAUUAAAUAGUUAAAUAAGUUUUAAAAAAAUUAAAAUGAACUUAAAAAUAAGUUAAAUUGUAUAUAAAUUAUAUUUAAAUUGUUGAAUUAAAAUAAAUUAAAAUUAUAGAAAAGUACUUAAAAAACACAUAAAGAAAAAG